CACGUAGGGGGCAAGCGUUGUCCGGAUUUAUUGGGCGUAAAGAGCUCGUAGGUGGUUCGGUAAGUCAGGUGUGAAACCUCCAGGCUCAACCUGGAGACGCCACUUGAUACUGCUGUGACUGGAGUCCGGUAGGGGAGCGUGGAAUUCCUGGUGUAGCGGUGAAAUGCGCAGAUACUCAGGAGGAACACCAGCGGCGAAGGCGGCGCUCUGGGCCGGUACUGACACUGAGGAGCGAAAGCGUGGGUAGCAAACAGG
rnacentral:rRNA from 1 species